GAGUGUGAAUGUGUUUUUCAGUGAGGAAUGAAACAGCAGUGACUCCAAGCUCAGAUGUUCUGGAUGAAGUGACUCCAUCUCUCCAGCUCUCAGAUGAGUUGUGGUGGCUGUUUGCUCUCGUCAUCAUCAUCUUCAUCUUCAUCAUCUUCAUCUGUUUCAUGCUGCGUAAAAGGAUCUUCAGAUGUUUUCAGAGGGAAGAGUGAUUCAUCUGUCAGCGUAAGGAUGAUCCAGAAAACAGGGAUCUGGUGAAGGUCGUAUCUGCUGAUCCUCGUUCACUGCAGGGAUCUGAAACGGUUCGGUGUCCAGAUGAUGAUGAUCACCAUCUGGUGCUUUGAUUCAACAUCAUGGCAUACAUUUUUAACAUGUAAACAGCCGACAGUGCUUUAUUUUUCCUUCACAACAAGGCACAAUGUGGAUUUCCAGACCCUUCACCAUCUCUGUUCCUCUCUGUUGAGAUGAGCUGCUGACCUCAAUACGAUCUGCUGUGACUCUUCAAGAAACAGAUCAUGAACCGACCAUCUCUUCACUACUAUUUACAGCAGCAAGUAAACAUGAAUGAACAUCAGAAGAUAUGAUAAUGAAAUCAAUCAUGUCUCAUGUAAUCCAUCAAUCAGUGUUUCAAUAAAUGUCAAUAAAACAGCUAGACAACAAUAAUGUCACGUAACAACACAUUUACCUCAGAAAAGACAUUCAGUGACCAUAAACUCUAGAGAGAAGCAUCUGAUAAAUACUUUAAUUCACUGAAAUCAUCUCACUUUUCUCUGAUUUAGCUCCUCCAGUUUAAAGGG